GACGCCAGGUCUCUAAUCUGUCUGUCUCCAGCUGUGGUGGCAGGGCAUGCUGGGAGUUGUGAUUCCACUUUAGCUGAAGUACAUGGGUUGGAGAGCAAUGAUAUACACUAAUAAAAAUACAACGGGUCCCUAUGACUGCAUGUACUUGCAUAGCCAUUUUUCUUUACAAUCGAAAUACGCACAGAAGUUACUCC